rnacentral:lncRNA from 1 species
CAAACAAAGGCGGGGCACAGAGCUGUUGCCUCGAGAUGUGUGGCCUCAGAAGGUCUUGUCGAGGCGAGUGAUGAAAGGGAGGAGGUUCCCGAGGAUACUGGAGCCGGAAGACGCGGCGAGGGUCCGGGAUUCAAGGAGAUUCAAAACCCGUGUCACUGCUGCCAUCUUCCUAGAAUCCCUUUAAAUCCUCAUGGAUUUGCUGACAUUGGGAGCAUCCUGAAAGAGUCCCCAUGCUAGGGUGGCUGCAGUAACAGGUACAAUGAGAAAUGAUGGUUCUCCCCACUCCAGAAAAAAUCAAAUCAGAUUGUGAAUUUAUUCCCUGACAUUAACACACGGCAUUACAGGAGCAUGUACAUCACAUGGUCAAUUUAUUGGCAUGAGGAUUAUGUCAUCGGGGAAUAAAUGGGAAAUUCUCAAGGUGGCCCAGGCCUGUAGGCUUCCAGUGAGAAAACUGGAGACCACACUCACCCGUCCCACUGCCGUUUCUUUGGGGCUGCCUGUGAUACUGGGUUAUUCCCCUUGCCGAGUUCCACUGUGCUUACCCUGUUGGAAUAUGAUGGUGGACUUGCCAGAGGAGAUGACCAUGAUUUUCAGGAACAGCAGCCCCUCCUUCCUGGUUGAGGCAGCCAGCAGGCACUCCUAUCCAUGAGCCACAGCUCAGCUAAGGCAAUCCAGUCCAGCUGCAUGCCCUCUCUCUGCUUCUGGGGAGGUAGGAAGGACCAGGGGCAUUCAUGCUUGUUUCUAGGGGGCCCUAACUGGAUCUCUGGAUCAAGACCUACUCAGGGGAGAAAGACUACUCUGGGUUCCAUGUUAGGACUGACGGGUGCAUCUUAACUGAGAUGCAGACAGUGGACAAUUCGAACUCUGACCUGAGAGCAAGCCCCAGCCUUGGUGCUCAUAAAUGCUCCGCUUGGUCCUUCACAUUUGUGUUCCACACAGGAGAAGCCAAGUUGUGAGCAGUGCACCUUCACAAGCAAAGCCUCGACUGAAAUCUUCUCUAACAAUUGGCUGGUCACUCCUGAGCGUAAUCUACCCCUUCAGAACACUGGGGAUGAAUUUAGAGACAUCGAAGCCUCCUGAUGAGAAAUACGUGUCCACUCACCGGGAGAACUGAAAUACCAGGAGAUUUCUACACAAAUCUCACAGAGUCCUUCUGGCGUCCUAGGGGUUUGCUCACAUAUAAGGGACUUUCUGGUAGGAAGAGAGUCUCUUUACAUUCUUUAUUAUAUGAUCCUGGUGGCUUUGUAGAGAGAUGGUACAGCUGACAGAUCAUGUCCUGUGGGGCCAGGGAGUUGUGUGUGUGUGAAUGCUCUGUGAACUUGGGCAAACUACUUAGCCUCUCUGAGCCUUAGCUGCAUCAGCUUUGAAAAACAGGAUGAUAAAAUGGAGUCACCUUAUUUGACUUUUAUAAAUACACUUACACAAUUACACAAGUUGUGGGGAUGGGAAGAGAGAGUUGGGGAAAGAGAAAUGAGAGAGAGAGAGAGAGAGAAUGAAUGAUAAACAAUUUAAACAACAGUGGGGUGUAGACCAACGCCCAGCCUGGCAAGGGUGAGCCCAGAGAGCCUUCCCUCCUGGCUAUUGGCAGCCUCCGCAUGGAAGCCUGUCGUUGACUUCUUAAUGAUGAGAGAUGUUCUGGGGGCACUCCAGGAUUCUUGGACAUGGGAUCGUCUUCACAGCUGUGUCUAUUGAAAGCUGAAGUUUCAGUCUCCCCUGCCCCCUGCCCCCUGGAGUGGCUUCCCAGGGGAAAUUCAAGGGCACCUGUGACUGCAUGGCUGCUUUCCUUUCCUUUACUCAAUGCCGUCCUUUGGUGACAGCCGUGUCUCAUGCCAGGAUACAUGAGGUGCUCUAUAGUAGUAUGUUUUCCCUCCUGGGAGGUAAUUUUAUUUAAAUGUGAAGUCAAAAGGAUCACUAAAUAGAACCAUGAGGCAACCACUCUGGGCACCUGCCUGGUGAUAUCCACAAGAGCUGACCACAGGUGCCCCCUGUGCCCAGCAAGUCCUUGGCUGGGCAGUCACACAACAGGCAUGGGGAUGUGUGGCCACCAAGCCCUCCAGGGCAGUGCUAUUUGUAAUAGUCCCAAAUGGGAGAGAUGGCAAACGCCCGCCAAUGGGGCAGCAUGGAUAAAUGGAUGCUGCACAGCAACGGCGAUGAGUGAGCCCCAGCACCCGUGAGCUCACCAGUGUAAUAUUGGGUGGAAGAAGCCAGGAGGAAGGGCAUUCACAUUCUGUGAUUCCAGCUACACUAUGUUUAAAUAUGGGCAGAGCUAGGCUGUGGUGCUGGAAGCCAGGACAGUGGGAUCCUUGCAUGGGGGUGAUGGUGCUGGUAGGUUCUGGUAAUUUCCUCUUCUUGAUCUGGGUGUAAACAUUUUGUGAAAAUUCAAUGAGCUGUACAUUUAUGACUGGUACAUUUAUGACUUUGUAUGAAUAUUAUACUUUCAUAAAACUACUUU